GGAAAACUGAACAGAGCGGCUGAGAGAGAGUCUCACUUGGGUGCAAAUGAAGAGCAUACGGUGUUUUGAAGACCACACACCUCGCCCCUGCUGUCGAUAUGGUGGACACACUUAUUUUCUAAAAUGGGGGAUCAAGAAUCAUCUCAGAAGGUUGCAUCUGAACAGGGAGGGAUGAAGACAGAACACCCUCUCGCCAGACAGGCACCUGCGCACUGCACGACCCGC